CCUGCCCUAGAAACAUUGUAGAUGUGGCCACUGUGUCACAUGUGCACCAGGAGAUGGCAGAGGGGAGAAAGGCUUUGUUUAUGCUCAGUGUUCUGACUUAUGAAUAUCUGAAUGAUUAGUACCCUAACACU
ensembl:snoRNA LOC120094495 small nucleolar RNA SNORA17